rnacentral:misc_RNA from 1 species
AACGCACGAGACCUGCGGACCUGCGGAAGGAUCAUUAAUGAGAAGCUGCCCCUCGUGGGUAGACCUCCCACCCUCUGUGAACUUACCUUUGUUGCUUUGGCAGGCCCGUCCUCUGGACCGCCGGCUUCGGCUGGCCCGCGCCUGCCAGAGGAUUCCAAACCCUGUCUGUCAGUGUUGUCUGAGUCUAUAUGAAAUCGUUAAAACUUUUAACAACGGAUCUCUAGAUCGGAAGAGCACACG